rnacentral:lncRNA from 10 species
CAAAGAGAGGGUUUGGGGUUUAAGGCAAAAGUUCCUGUUCAAGAUCUCAAUCAGGUCUGUUUCUGCAAAUGAAGGCUUGAAACAUUUACUUUUGAUUGGUUGGCACAGCUGAGUUCUGAUUGGUUGAUAUAGCUGAGCCUUCAUGACUGUGCCAGGUGACCUCUUAUUUGUUGUUUUCCAAGCUGGAAAUCAGAAGUCUCCAUCACGUGUUUCAAACUGGGGAAUGGAAGGGGGUAUUUCUGGAAGUUUAUUUUGACACCUAAAACUGCAAUCGAUUUGGCUUGAUUGUGUAAAGGGAGGUCUUGUGAUAGUUUCACACCUUUCCGAGAACACAGAGUCCAGUGACUGCUCCUUCACCCCGCCAUGACCAUCUGCUUCUGGUUUAACUUCUAGCAGCUCAGUUUGCCGUGGGGAAUCCAUUUUGUCUGUCGGCCAGGAACAUACUUUACCAGAGGGGAGCAGAGCCUCCAUUCCAAUGGUGAAUAGCAGUGUGAAGUUGUUUUGGUAAAAGGAAGAAGAAGAAGAAGAGAAAAAUUAUGGAUAUGAGGGCAAUCUAAGAGCAACAUCUAUCAACCAUUUGAUUGCCAGGGUUGGUGCAGCAGAUCUGGUUGACUAGACAGGUGUUCCCUUCCUUCCUCACCACUCCAUAUGCGUUCCUUCCAAAGCUGUGUGCUCGGUAAAAGAGGAUGACCAUCCGCGAUGGAGAAGGACCCAUCUUCAGUCAAGGGCACGGACAUAAAGACUGGAAACAAGCUUCAUUGCCAUUGGGGUUCAGUUGUAUCUAAGUGAUAAGAGAAAAUUUCUUGGUGUUGUAGAAGAGCAGAAGCCAUUGUUCUCAUGCCAUGGCUGAGGAUAAAUGUGUGGGCUUUGACAAAUGGCAGACAUGGGUUUUUGCCCAUUGAUUUUGGAGAUCUUCCUGAGAAUCAUCUUCUUAGGUGUGGUAGGCAACUAAAAUAAUUGUUAAUGGCUUCCUGAGAUUCCUUCACUUAAAAAUAUCUUGAAAGCAGCUUUUCUGACUGUCAUUUUGCCACCUCUCAGCAGUUUUAUUGGCCACUAGUUCUGUGUCUUAAACCUCUUUACAUGUAAAAUACUUAAGAGUGCUUUCAGUUUUAAUGUCUAAACUCUUAUCUAUUCAGUAGUGGAUAUUUGCCACUCUCUUCUAGUAAAUAUCUGGUUUUCAAAUAGAUUAUAUGGUUAUGUGAGAAAAAUCCCAGAAUUAAAAAAAAAAUCAGUCCUAUUAAAUUAACCACAUACCUCCAUCACACCCAAAGUUCUUGCUGCUUUUCCUCAUUCUUUCAAAAAAAUUUUUUAUGGUUUCAAAACUCCAUGCUGAUAGUUUUUAUCUUUUGUAAUGAUAUAAAUCAAGAAAAUAUGUCAG